UUGAUGAAUAAUUUUCGACAAAAAAUUGGAUUUUAACCACGAUAGGAAAAUGAGAACCUGCGCCUAUCCGUUUAAACCGAUUGUAGAAUUUAUGGAAAGAUAUGGCGAUCUGAGUAUGCCCACUGAAGGGCCCCAAGAAAGAGCCAACAAUAGUCAACGGUGGGUGGAACUAACGGACACACGAACGUGAAAUGCUGCUGCCACCGGCGACACGAAAACUACUGAGAAAUUGAGAAAAGUGUGGAGUGACUUUAAACAGCAAGAAGAAGACAACUCGCAUACACAGAGCUGCCAAGGGAACACU